rnacentral:rRNA from 1 species
AGCGGUGAUGAUGGCAAAGAGGAUCCACCUGUUCCCAUUCCGAACACAGAAGUUAAGCUCUUUAACGCCGAAAGUACUUACGGUUAACCGUUGGGAGGAUAGGUAAUUGCCGCUU